rnacentral:rRNA from 1 species
AUUGAACGCUGGCGGCAUGCCUUACACAUGCAAGUCGAACGGUAACAGGUCUUCGGAUGCUGACGAGUGGCGAACGGGUGAGUAAUACAUCGGAACGUGCCUAGUAGUGGGGGAUAACUACUCGAAAGAGUGGCUAAUACCGCAUGAAAUCUACGGAUGAAAGCAGGGGAUCGCAAGACCUUGUGCUACUAGAGCGGCCGAUGGCAGAUUAGGUAGUUGGUGGGAUAAAAGCUUACCAAGCCGACGAUCUGUAGCUGGUCUGAGAGGACGAUCAGCCACACUAGGACUGAGACACGGCCCAGACUCCUACGGGAGGCAGCAGUGGGGAAUUUUGGACAAUGGGCGAAUGCCUGAUCCAGCAAUGCCGCGUGCAGGAUGAAGGCCUUCGGGUUGUAAACUGCUUUUGUACGGAACGAAAAGCCCCGGGUUAAUACCCUGGGGUCAUGACGGUACCGUAAGAAUAAGCACCGGCUAACUACGUGCCAGCCGCCGCGGUAA